rnacentral:lncRNA from 1 species
CAAAGAAGAGCUUGAAAACUUUCCUGAGGCUUUCCUCCUUCCAGCUGCGAAAGAAAAGGGCUUUAGUUCUUCCCCUUCCUGUGAAGUCUGCAUGCCAGAUUCGCACUCUCCCCCAAGUUCUGGCCAGGAGGCUUCUUGCCCAGUUCAAAUUGUUACAAAGGCCAGCUAAAAACCCCCUGUGGAGUUUUACCCCCUGUUCCUCUGGCCACCCUCCCUAUGGAUCCCUGUGGUGCCAGGCAGGAAUGGGCUGCUUGGGGACCCAGCGAGCUCCCAGGGCCUUUCUGCUGCUUCCUCUACUCCCGUAUUUCGCUGGGGUCGGCUCUCUAACUUGACUCAACUCCAGGUGUGAUCACCUCCACUAAUCCUCCAUGAACUCUCUGAGAAGACAUCAGUUAAUUGUACUCACCAAAGGGUCUUUGGGAAAAUAACCUAUCCUGGAUGAUGGCUCUUCCUGGGAGCUUUGUUAACUUUCCUAUUUUGACUUUCAGAGCUCUGGCUCCAAACCUGUUUUCCAUGGCCAGCUGUGUUUCAGGAGCACAAUAUGCCAAGAAUGGUUCCUUCUUUCUUCAGUUAAUUCCAAUGGCUUCAGAAUAAAGAUUCCAUCAUAGGUGCAGGAUAUGGGAUACAGGAGCAUUGUUGGACAUCAAGAUAUCUACGAGGUUUCCAAAGGCUUUUUCUUCCUGUUUUUGCUUUUAAUGGAUUUAAUUUUUUGUUUUAGUUUUUAAUUGAAAUAUAACAAAAUCUAGAGAAGUGCUUAAAUCACAAAUGUUCAAUGAAUUUUAAAACAUGUGUAUGUAUAUGCCUGUGUAACCAGCACCCAGAUACCUUUCUGUAUUUAUUAGUUUUGGGAAGUAAAACACCUUAUCUUCUAACAACAUAGAUUGGUUUUCCUUGCUUUUGAUAUUUAUGUAAAUGAAAUUAUACAGUAUAUACCAUUUGUAUCUAUUUUGUGUUCUUUUGAACAUUAUUAUGUUUGUGAAAUUUACUCAAACGUCCACAUGAACAUAGGUGUAGUUUUCCCUUGUUAUUGCUAUAACCUAUUCCACUAUGUGACUAUAACAAAAUGUAUUUAUCCAUUCUUCUCUUAAUGACCAUUUGGAUAGCCUCUUGUUUUGUGCUAUUGCAGUUAGCAUUAUUAAGAAUGUAUUAUUAGGUGGUUGGUGCAAAAGUGUUGCAGUUUUUGCCAUUAAAAGUAAUGACAUUAAAAGUAAUGGCAAAAACCACAAUUACUUUUGCACUAACCUAAUAGUUGCACAUUUCUUUUGGAGGACAUAUGAGCAUGUUACUUCUGAGUAUGUAUGUAGGUAUGGAAUAACCAAAUGAUGGGCAUACCUAUGUUCUACUUUAGCUGAUACUGACAAACAGUUUUCCAAAGUAGGUUUUUCAAUUUCCACUCCCACUCACUGUAUGAAUGCUCUAAUUGGUAUUUUCUCAAUAUUCUCUGUCUUUUUAUGUCCAUACUCACACACAAUCAUUUAAACUAUUUUGUGGGGUUGUAUAAUCUCAAUGCCCUUUGAAUGCUGAGUAGUUCUUUUGAGUAUAUUUUCAAAUGUUCAUUGACCGUUUAGAUAUCCUCUUUUGUGGAGUGCUGGUUCAAACCUUUUGCCCAUUUUUCUAUUGGGUUGUCUAUAUUUUCUGUAUUGAUUUGCAAGAGUUCUUUAUGGAUUCUGGAUAUGAUUCUCUUGAUAGGUACAUGUUUUGCAAACAACUUCUCUAACUCUGCCAGUUGUCUUUCCAGUCUGUUAACUGUGAGUUGUUGACAGGGGCUAUUAUCAUUAUCACUUAUAUUUUUCCCUCAUGGUUAUUUGUCUUGUUUUUAAAAAUGUGGUGUACACCAAGGUCAUACAAAUGUUUUCCUAUGUUUAUUCAGAAAGCUUUAUUAUUUUACCUGUUACAUUUAUAUUUGCAGUAAAUCUUGAAUAAUUUUUGUGUAAAGUGUGAUGUAUGGGUCAAUCUACCCUUUUUAAAACAUUUAUACAGUUGACCCAGCACGAUUUUGUGAAAAGAUGAUCUUUUUACAUUGUAGGACAGUGCCACUUUAUCAUAAAUCAGGUAAUAGUGUAACUGUAGGUCUGUUUUUGGACUCUCUGGUUUGUUCUAUUGGUCUAUUUGUUUAUCAUUGCACUGAUACCACCUUGUCUUAAUUGCUGUGGUUUAGAAUAGGUCUCGAUUACUGGCAGUAUAAAUCCUCUAGUUUUAUUAUUCAGGAUUCCUUGACUAUAGUUGCCCCUUCAUAUUUUCAUUUAAGUUUCAGAAUCAGCUUGAUCAUGUUAUUUAAAAUGAUGCUAAAGUUUUAUUUGUGAU